rnacentral:rRNA from 1 species
GAGAAACGCUGGCGGCGCACAUAAGACAUGCAAGUCGAACGGAAUUUAGUCGAAUGUUUACAUGAGACGAAAAUUUAGUGGCGGACGGGUGAGUAACACGUGAGCAACCUGCCUUUAAGAGGGGGAUAACAUUGAGAAAUCAGUGCUAAUACCGCAUAAAGCUAUUUAACCGCAUGAUUAAAUAGCCAAAAGGAGAAAUCCGCUUAAAGAUGGGCUCGCGGCUGAUUAGUUAGUUGGUAGGGUAACGGCCUACCAAGACGAUGAUCAGUAGCCGAGCUGAGAGGCACAACGGCCACAUUGGGACUGAGACACGGCCCAGACUCCUACGGGAGGCAGCAGUCGGGAAUAUUGCACAAUGGAGGAAACUCUGAUGCAGUGACGCCGCGUAUAGGAAGAAGGUCUUUGGAUUGUAAACUAUUGUCGACAGGGAAGAAGAAAAUGACAGUACCUGUGGAGGAAGCUCCGGCUAACUACGU